UGUGACUACCGCCUCUGUGACCGACGC
rnacentral:piRNA from 1 species